rnacentral:rRNA from 1 species
CCUACGGGAGGCAGCAGUGGGGAAUCUUGCGCAAUGGGCGAAAGCCUGACGCAGCAACGCCGCGUGCGGGAAGAAGGCUUUCGGGCUGUAAACCGCUUUCAGCAGGAACGAAAAUGACGGUACCUGCAGAAGAAGGAGCGGCCAACUAUGUGCCAGCAGCCGCGGUGAUACAUAGGCUUCAAGCGUUGUCCGGAUUUAUUGGGCGUAAAGAGUUCGUAGGCGGUCGAGUAAGUCGGGUGUGAAAAUUCUGGGCUCAACCCAGAGACGCCACCCGAUACUGCUUGACUUGAGUUCGAUAGGGGAGUGGGGAAUUCCUAGUGUAGCGGUGAAAUGCGCAGAUAUUAGGAGGAACACCGGUGGCGAAGGCGCCACUCUGGAUCGAUACUGACGCUGAGGAACGAAAGCAUGGGUAGCAAACAGGAUUAGAUACCCUGGUAGUCCAUGCCGUAAACGGUGGGCACUAGGUGUGGGUUUCUAUUAACGAAAUCCGCGCCGUCGCUAACGCAUUAAGUGCCCCGCCUGGGGAGUACGGUCGCAAGACUAAAACUCAAAUNAUAGACG